CAUCAUGGUUUUAUCGCAAACGCAAUCAUCCUGGUCUUCACACUGCAGUUAUCGUCUGGAUGGAGGUUUGAGUUAGAAAUAGUUUACUGUAGAUGCCAAAACAUUCAUGAAGGAUGCAGUAUUACACUGCCUAUGUGUAUUUGACAAAAGUGUUAAAUCGUUAAAUCAUUUUAGUACUGACGGGG